rnacentral:rRNA from 1 species
UCGAACGAAGUAGCAAUACUUAGUGGCGAACGGGUGAGUAUAAUGUGGGUAUCUGCCCUUUGGUUUGGAAUAACACGAGGAAACUUGUGCUAAUACCGGAUAAGCCUUCACAGGGAAAGCUUUAGCGCCAAAGGAUGAGCCUGCACUUGAUUAGCUAGUUGGUAAGGUAAUGGCUUACCAAGGCAACGAUCAAUAGCUGUUCUUAGAGGAAGACCAGCCACAUUGGGACUGAGACAGGAUCCAAACUUAUACGGGAGGCAGCAGUGGGGAAUAUUGCACAAUGGGGGAAACCCUGAUGCAGCGAUGCCGCGUGAGUGAAGAAGGCCCUUGGGUUGUAAAGCUCUUUCGUCGGGGAAGAAAAUGACUGUACCCGAAUAAGAGGGUCCGGCUAACUUCGUGCCAGCAGCCGCGGUAAUACGAAGGGACCUAGCGUAGUUCGGAAUUACUGGGCUUAAAGAGCACGUAGGUGGUUAAGAAAGUUGGUGGUGAAAUCCCAAGGCUUAACCUUGGAACUGCCACCAAAACUUUUUAACUAGAGUAUGAUUGAGGUAAGCGGAAUUUCUAGUGUAGAGGUGAAAUUCGUAGAUAUUAGAAAGAACACCAAUUGCGAAGGCAGCUUUCUGGAUCAUUACUGACACUGAGGUGCGAAAGCAUGGGUAGCGAAGAGGAUUAGAUACCCUCGUAGUCCAUGCCGUAAACGAUGUGUGCUAGACGUUGGGAAUUUAUUUUUCAGUGUCGCAGCAAAAGCGUUAAGCACACCGCCUGGGGAGUACGACCGCAAGGUUAAAACUCAAAUGAAUUGACGGGGGACCCGCACAAGUAGUGGAGCAUGUGGUUUAAUUCGAAGAAACGCGCAGAA